rnacentral:rRNA from 1 species
CUUGACGGUCCUGAAUGCACCUGAUCUUGUCCAAUCUGGGAAGCUAAGCAAGGUUGGGCCUGGUUAGUACUUGGAUGGGAGAAUGUCCUUGGACUUCAUCUGCACCAUGGGCUUUCCUAGGUCUCCAGC